rnacentral:tRNA from 1 species
CCGCUGGUCGUCUAGUUGGUUAUGGCAUUGGACUGUAAUAUCCCCCCAUAUUGUAAUCCAGGUGUCGUCGGUUCGAAUCCGACCCAGCGGA